rnacentral:tRNA from 1 species
GUUUCCGUAGUGUAGUGGUAAUCACGUCUGCUUUACACGCAGAAGGUCCCCAGUUCGAGCCUCGCCGGAACA